rnacentral:lncRNA from 1 species
UCAGAGAGCAGGGAAGGAUGGCAGCGUCCCAGCCCAUUCUGUGAAGCCAGCUCGAUCCUGACAUCAAAACCAGUUGGUUGCACACAAAGAAGAAAACAAAUGAUUAACCCGGCCUUUAAAACCUGGGCAGAACUCCUACACAAACAUCGGCAGAGUGGGCCAUGCCGUCCAUGGUGACCAGACAAGGCUGUGUCAUAGAAGCACAAGGCUCCCAUCAGUAAGAGAUCCACUGACGGAUAAAUGGCAGCAGAUCAACGAGAGAAGCCGCUGGUCAUCUCAGCAGAUAUUGAAAUAGCCACUGUUGCAGCAAUGCUGGACCCUUAACCCACUGCACCACAGUGGGAACUCCUAUUUAAGCUUUGACUUUGUUAAUAUUCGCGUUUUUAAGCACUUGAGGGAAACGUCUCUGGUAGUUUAAUGUUUCCCGUAUACUUUUAACUUCCGUAGUUCCCUGAACUUCACCGUGCGUUCCUGUAACGAAGUCCUUAAUAAGCUAGAGAGAGAAGGAAACUUCUUUAAGUUGCUGAAAGCAUGUCUGAUGGAGGCGGCUGGGGUGGCUGCAUGCUGGUCGUGGCAUCACCAUGGUCAGUGCCCCUUCCUCUGCCGACCUGGUGCGGGGCCUGGUCCCUGUGCACAGAGCGAGUGUGGGCCUCACCGUUGCUUCAGCUUAGCGAUUGCAUUCUGGUUCCUGAGAAAGAGGAGGCAUUGGCUCUGGUAGAUGUUUCAGCCCUGUGGUUCCUAGAAUUAAACCCAAAGCCAUUGAAAACUGGUUGGGAGUCACUGUCAUUUCAAGGUCACAGCUUUGUCUGUCUGUGGCGGUCCUUAGGCAUUGGUCGGGACUAACUGUGCUGUCUAAUCGCCUCUCCUCACCUGUAUUUUCCUGCUUAGUAUUUCUUUGCCCCCUUGUGUAGAUGCGCAUAUGCAUCAUCCUCUUCAAUGGCCACUUUUUNAGUGGCCACUUUUGCAGCAACACACACAAAACUGAACACAAAAAGCACGGAAAAGGGGAACAUUUAAUGCAUUCAUUUACUCUGCUGCCUUAGAAGUCUUAAAAUUAUAUCUAAGCUGGCUUUGUUUUAUUUAUUUAUUUUUGGCUGUACCCGCAGCAUAGGGAAGUUCCCAGGCCAUCAUGACCUGCUCCACCAUUGCAGCAAUGCUGGACCCUUAACCCACUGCACCACAGUGGGAACUCUUAUUUAAGCUUCAACUUUGUUAAUAUUCGCGUUUUUAAGCACUUGAGGGAAAUGUCUCUGGUACUUUAAUGUUUCCCGUAUGCUUUUAACUUCCGUAGUUCCCUUUUUGCUUAUUUCCAGCUCAAUUAUUUUAAAUGGUUUUCCAAAAAAUAUAUAUAUAUAUUAUGUGAAUACAGUAACCCUGUGUUCCUAAAUGUAGAAUAAAGCAUAAGAGGUAAAUUUUAAAAUAACUUACUGAUGAUCUUUUUCUUUGUGGAAUUACAAUGAAAUGUCUUGCAUUAAGUCUGAAUGGUGGGGAUGGGAAAAAGGAGUCGGGGGUUGGUUGGGUUUUGUGGAGUUUUUAGUGACAUUUGGACAGUGUGUGAAUUUUGUUUUUUAAAGUGCCUGUCAUCGUUGCACACUCAGCUCUUUCACACAGGGUCUGAGUCCUUCCUGUGACCUGCCAUUUGACUUCAAAUAAGGCUGGCAGUCAAGAUAAAUAAAAGAGCUCCUGGCUCCCACGGCGCUGUUAGAUGAACCCGUGCCUGGCCGUAGAUGGCGUGGAGCGCCCAGGGUAGUUUCCUGGGGCGCGUGGUCCAGAGCAGGCAGGAGGAAGGUGUGUACUGCAAAGGCGUGGGGACAGCGUUAGGGGACCGGGGGAGCUCCUGGGACCAGCCCUUUCCCUUCCCGUUACUGAGUGGGGACCCCCCCCCUCUGCCCUGCAGGACACUGCGCGCAUCCUGGGCCUUCGCCUCCCAUCUCCGGCUCCGUCCCCGGCUCUUGCGUGCCGUCUUCCUGGACUAACCAGUUACGGGUGCUCGUCUGCCCCCUUCAUUUUCACUGUGUGCCAAGGGCUGGCUGCACCACAGAAUCAACCGUCUUAGGGGACGUUUUUUACAAAUUCUCUCUGAAUUAAAAUUCCCGUCCGUUGAUGAAUGUGGAGAGGGAGUUUCCUAACCCAUCAGUGCAUUUCGACCCGAGUAUAAUCUUUGGAACUUGUGUGCUUCGUUGGCGUUUCCCUCUCUGAGGACCAAGAGGGAACAUAGUCACCUCAGAUUCAUGUUUGGCCCCGGCCUUUCACUUGGGUGUCUUCCGGGGACACAGAGGCAGCAGGCGUGAGCUUGUCCCAACGCCCCUGCGGAGCGGGGUCGGGUCCGAAGGCCGCAGUCAGGCUGCAGUCGAAGCCGACCUGUAGCUUUGGCACAAGGACCAUGGUGACCCCAGAAGGCCACUGCCCACAAAAUGUGGGUGGGGGUGUCACUGGGGAGCAGGUGCUUGUGACCCGAGGGCUUUUAAGGAGGUGCGUGGGCCUGUGGACUGAACCUGGAAGGUGGAGGAGGCUCCCGAGGCCACCACAACCACGGGCCGCAGACCUGGUGGCCGACCGCCGCGGGACGUGGCUCUCUCGUGGUCGGGAAGGCAGAUGUCUGAGGCGUCUGAGGCGCGUCAGCAGGGCUGGCCCCUUCUGGAGGCUGCUGCCCACCACUGCCCCCACCCGGCCAGGCAGCCGUGGCCUCCUCUGGGGGCUGUGUCUUCCUUGUCUUGGAAGGACACGGGUGAUUGGAUUUAGGGCCCAAGUGGAUAAUCCAGGAUGAUCUCAAGGUUCUUACCUUAAUUACACCCGCAGAGACCCUCGUCCCAGGUAAGGUCUUGCCCUGACGUUCCAGGUGGACUUUUCUCUGCGGGGAGGCGCUGUGCAGCCCUUCAGCCCACGACGGACGGCAAGUAGGAUUUCAGGGGGCCACACGGGACAGGAGAGGGCACGGCAUGCGUGGAGCAGAGUGGGACACGGGACACGUUCCAAGUUCAGAAGCUUCCUUUGCAGAGGAAGUGUGAGGGGAUCCUGGGGUGUGAAAUUCCUGGCUGUGGAGAGGUGGCUGUGAGUGUGAGUGACGUGGGUGUGCUGGAAGUGAGGCCUGGGCAGGGGCGGGGGAUCAGAUCUGCUUCUAGAGACACACUUACCACCCGCUUUCCUCCUUAGUGUGUGGGAUUCUUUGCCUGUCAGUGUCAACGUGGCGUUUCCCAGAUUGUUAACCUUCACAGACAAAACGCGUUAACACACAGGCUCCUGGUCCCGGUAGUGCUCGUCGGUUGCUCCCUUGCUCGGCAGUGCUGGGCGAUGUCCUAUUCCGUGGACGGGCUGCUUUCCUGGACCUGUGAUCGCUGCCAGGAGACCCCCGCAGCUCUGCCCCUCUCUCCCCCGGGACAGGCGAGGUUAACCGGGAUGGGCACUGCCGUGCCUUCUAACCCCAUUACCGUCUGAAUAUUGAGAGUUUGAACCUGUCUCCUCAAGAACAGUCGUAACUUACUCCAAACAACCUGUUUUUGUUUUUGUGUUGGCCGUGCCCACAGCAUGUGGACGUUCCCCGGGCCAGGGAUCAAACCUGAGCCACAGCUGUGACCAUGCCAGGUCCUCAACUGCCAAGCCACCAGGAACUCCCAUCCUGUUCGUGUUGAGUGGCGUUGUUCUUCUGGGUUUUUUCUUUUGGUGUAACUCCAAAUUCCUCGUACUUUCUGUUUCAAUGCAUUUCUUCCAUCCUACAAUUUGAGACUUUAUCAUAAGGUGAAUAAUAAAGUGGUGCCACCUAAUCAGAAAGUUUAUACUAAAUAUGGAGAAGCCAAUGACAUUUUAUAAUAUUUUACUUUCUUUUCCUAACUUGAACCGCUGAUACUCUUGUUAUGGACGUUACUGCAUCAGGGAUAAUCUAACCUUUAUUACAAACCAGACGCAUGUUACUCCCGUUUGUUUUACAUGUUUGGCGUUUUGCUUUGGUCAGGCUUCCUACAAUUUAAAAAUAAUAGUGAAAAAAAAAAAA